UUUGCUCCCCUUGUCCCCAAACUUGCCAUUCUUCCCUCCAUUGACUUUUUAGUGCAGUUCAAAGCAUGUAAACACAUGCUCACUUUUUAUUUUUUUUCCUUUUGCUUUCCUCCUUGCUCCUCUCCCUUUCCCUCAUUUUCUUUUAUUUUCACCACCUAAAUCACCCUUUCUCUUGAUUUAUCCUCCACUCCACCACCAUUUGAAGCCACUAAACCACCAUCUCACCACCGCUACCGCCAAUGUGCUGUCGCACCGUCGUCCCGCCACUGCCGUCAACCACUACCAAAUUUUUUCAUUUUUUUCUUUUCUCUUCCUUUACUCUUAACCGAUUUUUCUAAACACUAAACUCUUAUAUUUUGUUUAUAAAGAGAUUAUUUCACAUCAUAAUUCUAAUUCAAUUUUUUUAAAAAUAUUUUGUUAUUUUCUAUCUAGUUGCGGAUCGUCCUCUCUAAUCGUUUCAUUAUGGGAAGUUGUUGUGCCCCUAUCCUUUCAAUUCAUUUUAUCCUUCAUUAUGGAAUAUCUUUCGUUCUCUGAUGCUUUUAUUUUCAAUUAGGAUGAUUCUAACAAUUCAUUUUAUCCUUCUUCUGUGAAGUGAAAUCCGUAAAUCUCAGAUCUGUACCCCACUGUUUGGAAGAGUGUGUUUGUUUGCCGAUUGAGACUCAAGAUUCGAUCUCUCCCUUUAGAAGUUGGAAACGAAGUUGUUUCUAUUGGAAAUUACGAUAUCAGGACCCACUUGCACAAUGUUCGAGCAAAUUGACCGUACCAUACCUCUGGCGGUAACUCAUAUGUGGGGUGGUAUUAAAGACAUUUUAGUCCCUACAACUUUCUCAUAUCCUUAGUAGGCACUUCAUGCUCAGCCAAACUUGAAGGCAUACUCUUCGUUUGUUGUACUCUUUCCUCAAUUGAAAAAUACCCCAAGAUGAAAUCCCUAGAUCCUGUUAUGGGCGGAUACUUUAUGCACCAAAACUUUAGUUUGUCAGAAGUCUAUAAAGUGGCAAAAUAUGCUAUAAUGCAUCAAGACAGGUAAUAUGCAUGCCUAGUUUCCCUUUGUCUCA